UACGUAGGUGGCAAGCGUUGUCCGGAAUUAUUGGGCGUAAAGCGCGCGCAGGCGGUCCUUUAAGUCUGAUGUGAAAUCUCGCGGCUCAACCGCGAGCGGUCAUUGGAAACUGGGGGACUUGAGUGCAGAAGAGGAAAGUGGAAUUCCACGUGUAGCGGUGAAAUGCGUAGAGAUGUGGAGGAACACCAGUGGCGAAGGCGACUUUCUGGUCUGUAACUGACGCUGAGGCGCGAAAGCGUGGGGAGCAAACAGG
rnacentral:rRNA from 1 species